AGGACGAACGCUGGCGGCGUGCUUAACACAUGCAAGUCGAGCGGUAAGGCCUUUCGGGGUACACGAGCGGCGAACGGGUGAGUAACACGUGGGUGAUCUGCCCUGCACCUCGGGAUAAGCCUGGGAAACUGGGUCUAAUACCGGAUAUGACCUCAGGUUGCAUGACUUGGGGUGGAAAGAUUUAUCGGUGCAGGAUGGGCCCGCGGCCUAUCAGCUUGUUGGUGGGGUAAUGGCCUACCAAGGCGACGACGGGUAGCCGACCUGAGAGGGUGACCGGCCACACUGGGACUGAGACACGGCCAGACUCCUACGGGAGGCAGCAGUGGGGAAUAUUGCACAAUGGGCGAAAGCCUGAUGCAGCGACGCCGCGUGAGGGAUGGACGGCCUUCGGGUUGUUAAACCUCUUUCAGCAGGACGAAGCGCAAGUGACGGUACCUGACAGAAGAAGACAACCGGACUAACCUAACGUCGCCAGCAAGCCCGAC
rnacentral:rRNA from 1 species